CGUAGGGUGCAAGCGUUGUCCGGAAUUAUUGGGCGUAAAGAGCUCGUAGGCGGUUUGUCGCGUCUGCUGUGAAAACGCGGGGCUCAACUCCGCGCCUGCAGUGGGUACGGGCAGACUAGAGUGCAGUAGGGGAGACUGGAAUUCCUGGUGUAACGGUGGAAUGCGCAGAUAUCAGGAGGAACACCGGUGGCGAAGGCGGGUCUCUGGGCUGUAACUGACGCUGAGGAGCGAAAGCGUGGGUAGCGAACAGGAUU
rnacentral:rRNA from 1 species